AUACGUAGGGUGCAAGCGUUAAUCGGAAUUACUGGGCGUAAAGCGUGCGCAGGCGGUUUUGUAAGACAGAGGGGAAAUACCCGGGCUCAACCUGGGAACUGCCAUUGUUACUGCAAAGCUGGAGUGCGGGAGAGGGGGGUGGAAUUCCGGGUGUAGCGCGGAAAUGCGUAGAUAUGCGGAGGAACACCGAUGGCGAAGGCAAUCCCCUGGGCCUGCACUGACGCUCAUGCACGAAAGCGUGGGGAGCAAACAGGAUUAGAUACCCUGGUAGUCCACGCCCUAAACGAUGUCAACCGGUUGUUGGGGAUUUAUUUUCUCAGUAACGAAGCUAACGCGUGAAGUUGACCGCCUGGGGAGUACGGCCGCAAGGUUAAAACUCAAAGGAAUUGACGGGG
rnacentral:rRNA from 1 species